UGAAACACCAUAGCCUCCGACUUGUUU
rnacentral:sRNA from 1 species